UUGACCUCGGAUCAGGUAGGAAUACCCGCUGAACUUAAGCAUAUCAAUAA
rnacentral:rRNA from 75 species